GGUGGCUCAAAGGUAGAGCACUUGCCUUGCAUGCAUAAGGCCCUGGGUUCGAUUCCUCAGCACCA
rnacentral:tRNA from 1 species